AAUCCCAGCUGAUGAUGCUGAUGAUGGUGCUCAGAGCUACACCAGACUCUGAAUUACCGCAGGAAAGGUCCGUCAAGUGUGCCACAGUAACCAAAUGGAAUUCAGCCAUGAUUUAAUGUUUCCUACUUGACAAUAUCUGCUGUGAAGAAGGCCUAUCAAAGGACAGGGAUUUGCUCCAAUUCAGCCACAAGAGCCUGAGCAAGGUCGGCCGCUGAUGUUGGGUGAUAAGGUGAAGAGGUCAGGAGGCCCGUGCACACCGGAUUUCCCGGCUGUCUCGGAACAUGCUGCCCUGGAUGAUGCGCUUCUCUUCCCGAGCAUGACACACUUACUGGGCUGCAGAGCCGAGCCACGGGACGAGCCACGGGACGAGCCACGGGACACAGACACGAAGAAGCGAAGGAGGAGAUGAAGAUGAGGAUGAGGAGGAUGCGAGGAGAGAGAAAUGUGAUGAUGAUGAUGAUGAAGAGGAGGAGGACAUCAACACUGGGAUACUUGUAGAGACGGAAGCAGAAUGAAGCUCUGCGGGUUUGGAGGGGUGGUGACAGUGAUGAUGAUGAUGACGAUGAUGAAGAUGAUGAUGAUGAAGAUGACGAUGAUGAAGAUGAUGCUCGGACGGUCGGAGUUGAUCAUCGUGCCGGUAAAUCUCCGGUAUCACCGAGAGUUUAAGGAAGCGCUAUUCUGAGGAGGUGGGCCAAGUCCCGGGAGAGACAGACAGAGAGAGAGAGACAGAGAGAGAGAGAGAGACAGAGACAGACA